CACGUAGGGGGCGAGCGUUGUCCGGAAUCAUUGGGCGUAAAGCGCGUGUAGGCGGCUUUGCAAGUCGGGUGUGAAAGCCCUCAGCUCAACUGAGGAAGUGCGCCCGAAACUGCAGAGCUUGAGUACCGGAGAGGAUGGCGGAAUUCCCCAAGUAGAGGUGAAAUUCGUAGAUAUGGGGAGGAACACCGGUGGCGAAGGCGGCCAUCUGGACGGAUACUGACGCUGAGACGCGAAAGCGUGGGUAGCAAACAGG
rnacentral:rRNA from 1 species